CUACAUUGGAUAUUGGCAAGUUCUUUUAAAUAACAUUAAGCCGAAUGACUUGUUGUUUUCAUUUUAAUUAAUCCGUCCUAUUGAUUACAAGAUCGUUACAUCCAAAAUCAAUAGAUUGUUGCUAACACUUUGUGUUGCACUUUCGACUGUUGAACUGAUUUUCGAGGACGUUAUGACAACGAUACUAUUAUACGGGCUCCUUGUUCACCAGCUUAUACUGACGACAGUUUUUGUGGUACGAAGUUACCACAACUAAUAUUAAGGGUGUCGUAAAGGCGAAUCUUCACGGGACGAUUUUUACGUCAAUCGUUAUCAAUACUCGAAUUUGAUUGGUCGCGAUUUUCGUCAUGAGGAAAAGUUGAAUUGGUUUCUACUUUUCGUCACAGAAAUGGUUGCAAAUAUCGUCCAGUCUAGAUUCGGGUUAAAACAGAAGAUUUCGAAAAAGAAUCGUUGAAAAACCACAGCAUCACACCACUUAAACCACGUGAUCAAGCUUAUCUUCGAGGCGAGGUGUAUAGUUUGAAGUCAGUCGCUUUAGUUAGAUGUAGCCACAGAAAAUGGUAUCAGAUAUGAAGACUUCUGAUCAAUGAA